UACCGUCAUUAAUUUCCUCAAUAUUUUUUUUAUUUUCUUUUUUAUUUCCCGCUCUGUAAAAAUAAUAACAAUAACAAUAAUAAUAAUAAUAUCAUGGACAUGUGGGAAAACGCGCGUGUAUCACAUUGAGUUUCAAGUAAAAACAAUCUGAUAAACUUCAUGUGAUGAUUCAAAUAUAUGUAUAUAAAAUUACUAGAACGUAAAAUAAUAAAUAAAUACAAUGAGUGUAAUUUUAUAAUUAAAUAAAUAUAAUUACGCUAAAUAGAAGCAGUAUUAAAAUAAAUUUCUUUACAAUGUAGGCGAUAACUAUUAAUUGCUGAUACUGUAAAUGCGUAAUAAUAAGUGAUAUUUAUAAAUUACAAACUAUAACCUCACAAGUCCGCGGUUUUUUUAUAUAUCAGAUAUAAUUUUUUAAUUAAAAAUAUUUUUUACACUAGAGUAUGUAUUAAUUGUAUAGAAGUAAAUUUUAAUUGUUAGUUAAAAUGUCUCAGGUAGAAUCAUGUCAAGACAGACAAAAUAAUGAGUUUGAAGUUUUAAAGUCAAUAUUUGGGGAAGAUCUUAAAGAUCUGAGAAAUAAUAAAAAUAAACGGAAAUGGCAGCCUUUGAGUGUGAGUAUGACAUUGACACCAUCACAGGGAAUGUCAGGACCAGUACAAGUUUAUGCACAAAUAGACUUGCAUGUCACUUGUGGGGAUACAUAUCCAGAAGAUGUCCCGCAUAUUAAACUGAAAAAUAGUCUAGGUCUCUCCAAUCAACAAAUAGCCGUUUUGUAUUCGGAAUUAGAAAGUUUGGCAGAUAAGUUAAAGGGAGAAGUUAUGAUCUUUGAAUUAGCUCAGCAUGUUCAAAAAUUUUUGUACGAACACAACAAACCGAGCUACAAUAGCUUUUAUGAAGAGAUGGUGUCACGUCGUCAGGAAAAAAUUCAAUCUGAAAUGCAAGAGAAACAAUUGAAAGAGAAUCAAGAACGUCAGGUGCUGCAAGAUGAAAUCCAAAGACGUCAAGAAGCAUUGAAGGCAGAGCUUCGUGAUCGUAAAAGAAUAGCACGUUUGUCUCUGGAAUCAAAUGAAAUAUCUCAGUCGAUUCCAUCGUCACCUCAUGAACGUGUACGUGCGAACUCUCGAAGAAGAUGUUUGAGCUCGUCUGAGAGUCCAGAUAGUCCAUUAUCUGAGCGUCGUGCUACAAAACUGUUGCAUUUUAUAAGCAGUAGAGGAGAGAGACAAGUUCAUUUAGGUAAAUGCUUAGGCCAUAGUGUUAAAGGAUCAGCUGUUUAUGCUGGUGUUGAUAUUGUUACUGUUGAGCAUCUUGCUGUUACUGAAUGGACACUAAAAUGUUCAUCUCCCAGUGAUGAAAAUAGCGAGUCAGAGAACUUUAAUUUACAACAGUUGAUAAAACAAGUAGGAAGUAUUGAGCAGGAACUAAAUCAUCUGAAAAAAUUAUACCAUCCUAAUCUUGUUCAUUAUUUAGAUAUGAAGUAUUUACAAAAUGAAGACAGUAUUGUCGUAUAUAUACUCCAAGAAUUUGUUGUUGGUACAACGUGUUCUUUUUUUCGAAAGGAAAAGAUUCCUGUUAAUAUUGAUAUGUUACGAUAUCUUGCUACUGGGAUCCUUUCUGUAUUAGAGUAUUUACAUGAAAAUAAUAUUACGCAUAAAGAUUUAAGAGAUUCAAAUAUACAUAUAGACAAUACAGGAAGUGUUAAAGUAUCUGAUUAUUCGUUGAAGAAAAGACUUUCAAAUAUUUAUCGUUCAAAUUGUUUAGGUAAAGCCAAUAAUAAUUUUUCUACAAUUCAAGGCAGAGGAAAAAAAGAAAUAGAUAUUUAUAAAUUUGGUAUUUUACUUUUGACUUUGCUUAAAGUUAAAAAAAUAUCAGACAAUGAAGCUGAUUGGGGAUUAAAUAUACCGUCGACAUUGAAAGACUUUUUGUCAAAGUGUUUAAAUAGUAAUGAGAGACUACGAUGGUCAGCAAAACAAUUACAACAACAUGGGUUUAUUCGGACACCUUUUUUAAAUGAUAUAUCGUCACCAAAACACUGCGAUAAACAAGAAAAUUAUUUUGAGCCGGAGGAGCCAACGUCUGAUUCAAGAAUGAAAAAUGAAUUUAAAAUUCUUGAAUCGUUGGGUGAAGGUGCAUUUGGUGAUGUUUGGAAAGUCAGAAAUAAAUUAGAUCUUAGAGUUUACGCUAUAAAACGAAUUGCUUUGGAUCCAAAAAGCAAACAAUCGAAUAAAAAAAUGAUAAGGGAAGUUAAAUUACUUUCAAGACUGAACCACGAAAAUGUUGUGCGAUAUUAUAAUUCUUGGAUUGAAAAUGUAAAUGUUAUUAAUGAUAAAAACAAUUCAUCAUCUCCAUCGGACAGUGUGUCUUUUAAUAAAAGUAAAGUUAAACAUACAAAAAAAAAUGAUUUAGAAAGUUUGGAAUCUCGGACAAUUGACGAUUCUGAAGAAGACAGCAGUAGUAGCAGUAGCAGUUCCAGUGAUGAAGACAGUGAAGAUGAAGGAGCAUUUUUUCACUCUACGCAAAAAUCUUUCGAUUAUUCAGACAGUAUAGAAUUUAAGAUAGAUAGUGAAUCUCAAAUAAUUGAUUCUAAGGCAGAGUCAUACGAAACAUCGGAAAAAAUAACGAGCGAAGAGAACAGUACUAUGGAACAUACAACUAAAUUUAUGUAUAUACAGAUGGAGUUUUGUGAAAAAAGUACACUGAGAACUGCAAUUGAUAAUAAUUUGUAUGAAGAUAAAGAUCGUGUUUGGCGGUUGUUUAGAGAAAUGGUUGAGGGUAUCGCGUAUAUUCAUCAACAAGGAAUGAUUCACCGGGAUUUAAAACCAGUAAAUAUAUUUUUGGACAGUAAUGAUCAUGUUAAAAUUGGCGAUUUUGGUUUAGCGACGACAAAUAUAUUGUGCUCGAUUGUACAAACAAUCGAUAAUGAAAGAGAAGCUGAAAUAGAAAAUAAAAAUGAUAUUAUUCUUGAUGAGCCGAGAUCAAUGACUGGUCAAGUAGGAACUGCUCUCUACGUUGCUCCAGAGUUGAGAAUUGAAGUAGCAAAAGCUCGAUAUAAUCAAAAGGUUGACAUUUACAGCCUUGGGAUAAUACUCUUUGAAAUGUGUUACAAACCACCUGAAACUAAAAUGGAAAGAGUUACUAUUCUUCAAAAAGUAAGAUCUAAAGAAAUAAUUCUUCCUUUUGAUAUGACCGAGACUGAAAUGCCACAUCAAAUUCAUCUUUUGCGUUGGUUGCUCAAUCAUGACCCUAAUCAACGACCAACAGCUCAAGAGCUUCUAACGUCUGAAUAUCUACCUCCACCGUUGCUAGAAGAGGCGGAAUUACAAGAAAUGGUACAACACACAUUGUCAAACAGUCAAAGUAAAGCUUACAAAUAUAUGAUUGCUAGUUGUUUUGCCCAAGAAGUCACUCCAGCUGAGAAUAUUAAUUACGAUAUGAGUGUGCCAAACAGGCCAGCAACCAGUUCAUCAUUAGUAGUUCAUGGAUUUCAUCCCAAAGAACUUUAUGAAAGUGCAUUUGACAUUAUAAGUUCAACUGUAAAUUUAAUGGCUGAAGCUGAACUUAUUCGUAUUGCUUGGGAAAUUUUUAAUGAAUUCUCUGAAAUGCGUCAAUUCGAUUUUACAGUCCGUCUAAAUCAUACUUCUUUAUUUGAAGCGAUUUUUAUGUAUUGCGGAAUCGGACCAGAAAAAUUUCAAGAGAUCUAUUCAAUAUUUGGUGAUGCACGAGACGGCAAGUGUCAAACAUUUCCAAAGCAAUCCCAUUUUAGAAAUGUAUGCCUAACUGAUCACGUGAUAGCAACACUUUCUACUCUAUUUAAUACUGAAAACAAUGUAUUAAAAAUUGCAAGUAUUUUUAAAAAACUUACUAUCCGCACGGGCGACGCUGCUAUUUUGGCAAAAAAUGCUCUUGGAGAAAUUGAGACUGUCACUGCUCAUAUUGAAGCAUUAGGAGUCAAGGUACGUCAAUUCUGUUGAGCCUCACAACAGGAAGAUAUUCUAUCGGGAUAAUCAACAGACGAUUUCCUGCAGUGUGUCAAGACAGCACGUGGUUUUUGUGCAGUUCUGAAAAUUAGCGUGCAAUUAAAAAUAAAAUUAUUUUAUUAAAUAAAUUUAAAAAAGAAAAUAAUUACCCGCUGAACCAAAGGAUUUAUAACAAUCCUGACAAAUAUAUUCAAUGCUAUGAAUUUUGUAGCAGACCUCAUCAUCUAGAUUCAAAACAUUGUAAUCAUUAUUGACAAAAUCCUACAAGCAAAAUAUUUAUAAUAAACAUUUGUUUAAAAUUUAAAUUAUAGCGCGCGAUCAUUCGCGCUCGAAAUAUGGAAUCACUUACUGAUGGGGCAGCAGGUUCUUCAGUCAAAAGAGUUUCAAUGAUUGUUGAAAUAAUUAUACUAUUUUCUGGAAGGCUCAGGAUUCCCACACUCGAAGACAUUUGUUGGGAAGCUGUUUUCCAUUACUAUCCAGACUUGAAAUCAAUGACUGACAAGGAAAUUAUGUCCCUCGGUCUUCCAUUGCAGUUACUCAAGUCGCGUAUUAAUUAAUAAAAUACUUAUAAGUAAAUUCAUCGUAUUCAUUUUUUUUUAUUUAUUAUACACUAGCAUUUAAAAUUAUAAUGUUCAUAAAUCCAUUUGAAACCAAAUUUAUCAUUUUUAAAGUUUACUGUUACUUUUCUAUAAUAAAAAAUGUACUAAAAAAUUUUAUGUCUUCACGGAAAAAAUCGAACUAUAGAAAUUGAGAACGACAAGUUAUAUAAUGAUAAAGUGAUCAGUGAAAAUUAUCAUUCUAAAUAGUAAUUUUUUCAUUUAUGAUUAAAGCGUUAAUAAUUACAGGAUAAGUAUGAAAAUUUAUUGUCUAUGCAAAAAAAAUUACUAUUUGAACUUUAAAAAUCGUAACUGAUACUUAAAAAAUUGACGACACGUAUUAUAAAAUUUAUUAUUUGGAGUGUUAAAAUUCCCCAUAUUGACAACCGGGUUUCGAUUUAUAAUUUCAAACACUAAUUUUUAAAGUUUAUUUGUUUCCGUGUUGUUUUUUUAUUCUAUAAUAAUAUAUGUCACGAAUUAGACAGUUUAUUUUUUAUUUAUAUUAAAAAUUACCUUUUUUUUCUUUAAUUACUAUUUUUUUUACGUAUUCUUCACCCUGAUCUAAAAUCUUUAUAUUUAAUUCCUAGUCACACAAUUUACUAUUUCACCAGAUCUGUAUCUGAAAGUUUAAAUUUUUGCCUCGGUUUGUCUGAAGAAUGGCGCAUGCGUUAGUUUCUAUCAUUUCCUUAUUCUCAGCAGAGAAAAGAACGACUAUCUUCCCUCCAAACAAGGCAGCAAUUUGCACUUCCGGUUCAGGUGGGGUGAAAAUGAGUUAAAGAUUUUAAUAAUUAAUUUUCUAUUGUCCCAGCAAGAGAAUGGACCUCGGUUUUUACUCCCACUCUGGAUGUUUUAUGUGUUAAAUGUUCUCCCGCUUUUCUGUGCGCAUGCGCAGUUCAUAAAUGUUCGGUAGUGGGGGCAAUUUCCGAGAUCUAUUCUCUUACUGGGACCACAAUAUUUUUGUUUUUUCCCUCUUGCUGGGUUUUGUGCCCAGCUGGCCUUUGAAAGUUUCGUACAGCCAACGUUUGUGGAAUGAACCACAAUAGUUAUACGGCCCAUGUAUUUUACUGAGGUCGCUGUUGUCGAGAUAUCCACGUGUGUUUCGUAUUAAUAAAAUCAGUUAACCUUUGAAGUGAUACAUAAAAAAAAAAUAAAAUAAAUUACUUCAAAUAAGAUUUUCAUUCAUCAAUAAAAAUUGCAUGGAGAUUUUGAUUUUUUUUAUUAUUUUAAAAAGUGAAUAAAAAAGUUUAAUAAUUAUUAUGAUACUAAAGUUAGCCGAGGAUCAUUAAUUAUUUAAAAAAUGUACGCAUUCAAGCCGCACGUGUUUACUAAACACUCUAUAUACAGUAUUACAAAACCUGAAGGAAAAAUGGAAGCAAUAAUAUGCUGUGAUGGUAAAAAUUUAUAUUUUAACGGCAAGUCUGCAAAUAAUAGCGAAUUUCAUAAUAUCUGGGAGUACAAUUUAGCUGGACAACAAUGGAGAUUAUUGAUAUCAAUAAGGCGUCUAAACAAUUCACUAUAUACUAAUGAUUUAAUUAUUGGUACUAUUUUUGAAUCAAAUUAUUUAGGUAUUUGCACACUACAAAGGCAAAACACAAGACAAAGACCUUUCAAUGACGAACUGUCAAGCCGCACAUCUCAAUUACAUGUUUGUGAUUUGAAUAGUAAAAGUAGUAUUGUUCGAAGAACAAGUGGACAAGCUCCAUAUCAUGCAUAUCGACAUAAUUUCAUUCGCCAUGGAAAAUAUUUGUAUAUUGCCGGAAUCGAAAGAGAUUAUAAUGAAACCUUUUUCGAUGUAUAUAAAUUAAAUAUGGAAAAUGAUGUAUGGGAAGUUGAUUACAUCUGUCGAGGACUUGAUGCUAAUGAACCAGUUGGUGGUGGUUCGCAUCAUACUUUAGUUUACAGUAACAAUAUGAUUUAUAUAUUCGGUGAUUGUGAUCUUGGUCGCAGAAGGGGUCCAUUUUCGUUUCUC